rnacentral:pre_miRNA from 1 species
AGGAGGAACAGCCCCAGUGGCGGGGCAGCUCUGGAAACCUGGAUUCAGCUCCGGCAGGACUCCCGUCGGCAGGGCCUGGAGGCUCCGGGGCGGG